CGGCCAGCUUAGUGAGAGGCCGCCGGACCGUGGUGCUGCCGACUCUCACGUCAGCCGUUAGGACGAGGCCAUCGGGCUCUGGUUGGACCAGACAUCUCGUCGCGAGAGAAGGAGCCGCGGCUGUCCCGUAAGUCACGGUUGUGAGUUCAAGGACCUGGACAAAGUCGGACGGAUCGUUUCUCUAGAAAAUCUGCUGGUAGCUGGUGUCAGACGAGGCGACAGGGUGUUUGCGGAAGACCAGCAAUUCUGGGAGAUGGCGGAGGGAGAACAUCUUGGCCGAGGCAACGAAAACGACCCACAACUCGGUCGUUGAGUUCAAGCGGCGGAGAAUGGCAUGUUGAGGCAAGAAGUAGCGGUCAAGAUUCGGUUCUAGUGACGACGGGGCGGAACGGCAAGAAAAACCUCGAACCGGCCGGUAGGGUCCCGCUUGUGGGUGGAGCGGAAGAAGGCCUCGCAAUCUUUCUGUACGGUGGUGACAGGCGUAGCAGAUUCGAUCUCGGAUCUUAAGCCGGAAGCGUUGAAUGGACUUGCUGAUGUGCUCCAAGUUGCGGUGUGGCUGUCCUGUGGACCAGGGACGGUGUCCCCGACUUCGCCUGCGAUGACCCAACUCAGGAGCCUGAAGAACAUGGACACUUCAAGCAGCAAGUCGAUGCGGUCCGGAGUCUGAAGUCGGAAUCGGCCAGCUGGAUGCACUCCGGAAUCGGCCAGUCAGCGAAGUUUACCGGCGACGACAGAAUCAGCCCAUUCACUCGGGGCACGAUCAAGAACUCAAACUUCACCGCUAAGCUUUUGUACCGGGACAGGAGCUUUUGCCAUAGACUCUGAAAUAAAGUUGACCUGCGAACCGUUGUCCAGCAGGA